AAUGCAAGCUAGUGUUGCGCGCUUUAAACGUUUAAAUUAGCCUCGCGAUAAAGCUAAACUGCGGCGUAGAUAGCGAAAUCACGUAAGGCAACUUACGCCAAGGCUCCCUGAAGAUCACUGGGGGUGUAGCAACACCACUUGUGUUCUGUGCUGACCUAGACUCCAUACCAAGCUCGUGCCUGGGACGUCGGCAUCAUAUUCCACAUUUGGUUCUGGGAAGCGGGGUAGUUCUAACCCCUCAUGUGUGCUUGUCAUGUAUACAAAGUUUGGCGCAUAGAAUUGUGUGAAACAAAAAAAAAUGGCAUACUUCUCUCUACAAGCCUAUGCCAUUGCAUGAAGUUAGUCCUGAAAAUACUUGCCUGAGAGUCAUUACAGCGGAAAUCUCGCUGACCUGACUGUGGCUAACAUUGGCGAGCCGCACCUGCUGCCACAGAGGCUGUCUCGUCGGUUUCGGGUGCAGCCUGUGCUCGUACACGGCAGCUGCCAGCAGCCUUGUGGAACGCCACAUGCGGACGCACACGGGCGAGCGGCCGUACCGGUGCGAGCACUGCUCCAAGGCAUUCAGCCAACGAUGCAACUUGGUGCGGCAUUGCAGGAUGCACACAG